UACGGGGGGAGCAAGCGUUGUUCGGAUUUACUGGGCGUAAAGGGCGCGUAGGCGGCCACCGCAAGUCGACUGUGAAAUCUCCGGGCUUAACCCGGAAAGGUCAGCCGAUACUGCGGGGCUAGAGUGCAGAAGGGGCAACUGGAAUUCUCGGUGUAGCGGUGAAAUGCGUAGAUAUCGGGAGGAACAUCCGUGGCGAAGGCGGCUACCUGGACCAGCACUGACACUGAGGCACGAAAGCGUGGGGAGCAAACAGG
rnacentral:rRNA from 1 species